rnacentral:tRNA from 1 species
GAUGGGAUGCUCCAGUGAUAAUG